AGUGAACGCUGGCGGUGUGCCUAACACAUGCAAGUCGAACGGCAGCACAGUAAGAUCUUGCUCUUACGGGUGGCGAGUGGCGGACGAGUAAGGAGUAGAUCGCAAUCUUCUUUUUCUUGGGUGACAACGUGGGAACGCAGACACUACUACCGCAUACGUCCUACGGGUUAGAUCAAUAGAUCUUCGCACCUUUCGCGAUUCUAUUAGCCGGGGCCGGAUUAGCUAGUUGGCUGGGUAAAGGCCCACCAAGGCAACGAUCCGUAGCCGGUCUGAGAGGAUGAUCAGCCACACUGGAACUGAGACACGGUCCAGACUCCUACGGGAGGCAGCAGUGGGGAAUAUUGGGCAAUGGGCGAAAGCCUGAUGCAGCAACACCGCGUGGGUGAAGAAGGUCUUCGGGUUGUAAAGCCCUUUUGUUGGGAAAGAAAAACAGUGGGUGAAACCACGGCUGUUCUGACGGUACCCAAAGAAUAAGCACCGGCUAACUUCGUG
rnacentral:rRNA from 1 species